AUAAAGGAAUGGCGCAUUAGAAAAAGAAUAUGAAUUGUUUUUUAUACCACUCCAGGUGGCGUUUUACAUCAACAUUACUCAAUGGACUACGAAGGAGACUUUACAAUUACAGUAAUAACAAAUCUCAAGACAGACAGUGUAUAUUUAAAUUGGACCUCAUUGGAAAUGGGCUGGACUCUGGCCUAAUUGGCAUUCCUGAUGCUCAUUACGUGAUGUAGACAAAGAAGCCACAACUAUCAGGAAAUAAUGUCUGGACUUAAUCGUGAAAGGACAACAGAACUUACCAAUUAUGCAUAGAUAGCCAAAAAUUGUGUCACUCAUCAAGCAUCCUGCAAAAAUUCUGGAUAUGAAAUUAUUUAAAAUAUAGUGUAAAUUUAUUUUUUAAAUGUUUUCCUCUGCAAUAAUCUCAAAAAUAAUGUUAGCAAUAUGUAGUAAUUCUUGUAGGCUUUAUGUUUAUUAAUAUUGUAUAAUAAUACUGUUAAUGUUUAUCUUAUUAAUAGAUAAAGUAACCCGUUUGUUGUAAAGAAUAUAGACAUGUAAAAUAAUAAGAUAUAACAUUUUGAGGAUUAAAAUCAUAUUUAUUUGAUUUUUUGCCAGAUGUACAUGAUAUAGACCUACAGUUAUAUAAAUAUAAAAUCUAUAUAUAUAUAUAUAUAUAUGUAUAUAUAUAUAUAUAUAUAUCACAACUUGAUUUCAAUGCUUAAAAAUAAAUAUCAAGUGGAAUUCUGAAUUUCUUUUCAUCUUAUUAAAUGUCUAUGUUUACUCUAAUAAAUUCAAUAGCUAAAAUAUCCUUAUUAUAAUAAACUAAUAAGCUUAAACCAAAAGUUAAAAAUUGCUUCAUCAAUAUGUGCUACUCUAUCUGUUAAACUAGCAACUUUUUCGAGGACGCCCUCAACAAAAACAUAAAACCGGAAAUGACGUGGUUGCUAAGCAACAAGCUCAUGCAUAAUCAUGAAUAUUCAGUGGCACCUGUUCUAAUUAGACUAACA